rnacentral:rRNA from 1 species
AUGCUUACCACCCCGCAAGUCAGCCGGUUCACCGCCAUGCCCAGGCUCGAGCCCUGCGCACGCAGCCGCAGCGGCGUGAUCUCUGCCGUGUACGUGGACGGGAGCGACCCCCACCCGACCGAAAACGCCGCGACCGUGGCCAGCGUGAACGCCACGCAGGCAGCCGUGCUCGCUGGCGACGUCUCGCCGAUGCAGAGUGUGAGGGCCAGGCCGGUCAGCGAGGCGGCCACGCCGCCGGCGCUGGCCAGCAGGAGCGGGCGCCGGCCGAAGCGGUCGGAGAAGAGCGAGACCACGAGUAUGAAGCACGUCUUGACGACGCCGAUGGCCACGGUGGCGCCCAAGAUGGCGCUGUUCGACGACAUGCCUGCCUUCUUGAACAUGAGCGGGCUGUACAGCAAGAUGGCGUCGACGCCGAACGCUUGCUGGAGGAAGUUGAGCCCGACCACGAAGACGAGGAUCCGCCGGACCAUCGCCGACGGCCGAAAGAUCAGCUCCCGCCACACGCCACUAUCGGCUUCUCGCGGCGCCUCGACGACCCGCUUGAUCUCCUCGAAGCGGAGCUCGGCCUCGGCGGCGGUAUCGGAGGUGCGCACGAGCACUGCGCGCGCGUCGGCCUCGCGCCCGCGCAUGGCGAGCCACCGCGGGGACUCCGGCAUGGCGAGCACCCCGGCGGCGAGGAGCACCGGUGGGAGCACUCCGAUGGCGUACAUGACGCGCCAGCUGAGGUGCACCGGCAGGCCAGCCAAGGCGUAG